GUAGGUCCCAUGCGGGGCUUGUUUGUGUUGUUUCUGGUAUGUCUUAUAGUGUAUUUGGAGAGGGGGUGGGGGGAAUGUAAGAAGUCAUCCUAAUUACUUCUAAUUAAUUACUAAUUAUUAUUAUUGGGCUUUAAUGUGUUAAAAACAUACAAAUUACCAGUUGGACUGGAUUAAAUUUAUGACUGAAUGUUAAUUAUAAGAGGUUUAACCAUAUUUAGUGCUCAUAUUGUUUGCAGCAAAUAACUAAAUCUAUUUACUUGAUUAAAUUUAAUAAAUUACAGUCAUUUUUGUGUUUGGUAUGAUAAAAAUGUAUUAAUGUAAACAUUUGUCGUUCUUGUAGGAGUACAUUUCAUCACCUUCCUAAACAAACUGCCUAACAGUUAAUUUGUAGAGAAGAAUCUGAGGUUUUAAAAAUGUAAACCAGACAUUUGAAAAAUGGUUUUAAGUUUAAAAUAGAGAAAACUUUGAGGUCUGCUUUAAAAUCUGCACUUGACCUCCAUCUUUUUUACUCGUGCCGUUGGCAGAACUUUUAAAUAAAAGUAACUUUUUCUUUAUUAUCUUAAAUUGUUGUUUUGUUAUGUUUUUAACAGAAUCAAACAAUAAAUGGCUGAAAUAAAAACUUUUUUUUUGUUUCUGUUCACCGUGAUGCUGUGUUCAGAUGGUUACAAUCAUCACUUCAGAAGAACUUCAGUUUUUUAUAUUUGUUUAGUUUGUUGGUCAUCGUCUCAACUCUUUUUGUUUCUGGUGAAGUUUAGCAGCAGAUUCAAAAGGACCACCUGCUCUUUUGUUUGGUUAGUUUGAGGGUGGUCGUGGGCGGAGCCUCAGUGUUUCCUCUUCAGGCUCUUUCAUUAUUGACAAUUUAUUAUAUUCAAUGUUCUGAUCAGAGCUGAGACCAUGAGAGAUGAUUUAUGAUAAAUAAAAGAUGAAGAACAGGCUGGAACCAGCAGUUUUCACUAAAGUGAGGAUUUCUUCUCUUUAACUCAUUAAUGUGUCUAAAGCAAACUUUUAAUUUUUUGUCUCCUGUUUGUUUUCUAAAAUUACCAGUCCUCUUGUCUCCAACCGACCAGCUUCUGUUUGAUACCAAGUAAAAACAAACAAUCCUGUUUGUUUACAGAGGAGUGGUCUGCCAACUGAAGGUGUGGUGUGUGUUUUUUCAGUUGAAGAAAAGGAGAGCGGUUUUACUGAGGAAGCACGUGGAGGAACUGACAGUUAAAGACUGUUACAGCAUUUAUCUGAUGAACAGAAAACAAACACAAGUCGCACAAUAAAACUCUCAUAUCAGCC